AUGUCGUUCAACAUGGCUGCUUCUUCAGAGGUUGGCGGUGGAGGGGGGGGAAUGAGGGUGAAAAGAGAGUGGAUUGGGAAGACGGAACAAUUUGUUCCACGAGUUAGGUUCCCAGGGCUGCCUUCACAAAGUACCACAAAUUGGCAGUUUAAAUGUCGGAAAUGUAUUAUCUCAUGGCUCUGAAAGCUGAAAGUUCAAGAUCAAGGUGUUGGCAGAAUUUCUUCCUUCCGAAGGCUGAGCCCAUUCCCAGCCUUUCUCCUGAUUUCUAGUACUUUGAUUAGAAGCAUGACCCACCCUGUGCCUUCAUCUUUACCUCACAUUUUCCAAGCUGUUUGUCUGUGUCCACAUUUCCCCCCGUAUAAAAAGACAGCACGUUAAUCAUUUUAGAUUAGGGACGCACCAUACGAUAUGGUGUGACCUCAUCUUAAAUGAACUGACUGUAUCAGCUCUUCCUUACUCCCAAAUAAAGUCACGUUCUGAGGUCCGGGAAGCCAGGUAGAGGCUCAACAUUUAAAAUGUGAGGAGGGGGCACUUUAUUCAACCUGUAUCUCUUGUACAGGGCUGGGGAGAGCUCUCUCUACAGUGCAACCAAGAUCAAAGAAUGGAGGCAAGAGGCAGGGGAUGAGAGUUUCAAAGCUUGAAUUAUGACUCUCUACGUGCCACAUACCCUCUCUUCCAAGAAAGGAAAAUAGGUCACAGACCUGAAUUUAGAAAAAUAAGCGGCUUUCUUGUUUUGUCUUUUUGUUUUUAAGGUAGGGGAGCUGAGAGACUAUGAGGCACCCAGUGAUACAAACACAGGGUGCUAUGAGCUCUGACGGCUAAUGCAGCACAGCAGCCUGUAAGCAAAGUCCUAUUUGUCUUCCUUCAGCUCACUUCCCAUGCAACCCUCCAUUCGAAGGUCUCUUAUUUGCCUAAGGCUGGGGCCUAGUCGAUAUGAAUGGAAAUCAAUAGAACAAAAAGCUAACCAUCUUGUGCUGUCUAUGCAACUUUAGCAAGAAACAGCAGAGAGAGUGUGGCGAGGAUGAGAUCGUUCAGAACAGUAUUCAGCUUCUCCUUUUACCUCCAAAAAUCCUAGGGUGGGGGUCGGGGGAGCUGCUGUUUGCCAUCUGAGAGUGACAGUGAGAUUCUGUCCCUUGUCCUCUGGGGCCCUAGAAAAUUAAAAUCCACAGGUGCCCUGUUGUCUGAACAUUUGGAGAAAAGCAGAAAUAUAGAAAGUGGCUUCUGUGGCCCCAAAUGACAAAGAAAACCCUCAGGAUCCCUGGAACCUGUCAGGUUCUUGCAUCAACCAGCCUGAGGGGACAUCAGGGGGCGUCUCUGCUGAAGCCAUGUCACUGGGUGAGCACAUAAGAUAGCACAGGGAUCUCCUAUGGGCCCAAAACUCUAAUCUGUCGUCGACCAUACUUUUCAUUAAGAGAGACUGAUAUCAUCACCAACUGAACUGAAUUUGGUAUUUUAAAUACAUAAAUCAAAAAUGUAAAUAUUUCCGCCAUCAGCUUAGAAUAACAGAAUUCCUCUGACCAGAAAACCCAAUGGCACAAUGAGUGUAGAAAGACAAAAUAUUGUUUUUCUGUUUUUGCUAUCAUUUAACUUCUUGGAUCAGGCUGCGCACAUGCAUUUGACGCAUUUUUUCAUUUGAUGCAUUUGUUUAGCAAAUCAGAGGGAUUUUUAUUAGUUUUAGCCCCCUUCUACAGAGAGGAAGGCUGAUUCCCUGCGAAGUUGAGAAACUUGAACCCAAAGCCAAGUGAAUCAUAUGGUGGGCAGCUAUAGCUCAAGGGAGCUGUCCCAAAAAUAAAGCGAGCGAGUCUGCUCCACACUGAAGCUUCCAGUCCUCACGCCAUAGAAACUCUCUAAGGUUAGACUACUGCUGGUGGAAGGAACUGGGUUUCAGCUUGCGUUUUCUUUCUAAGAAGCUGUUAUUUAUCAAAUUUAAAACAAACAAACAAUCAAACAAACAAAACCUUCAAGGCCAGGGCCUACCAAAACAAUCAGAAAAGCGUCCUCCCAUCUUGUGUUCUUGGGGUGGGACCUCUGAGGAGAGACACAUUAUCACCUCAGAGAAGAGGCCGGGUGGACAUCUCUGUGUUUAGGGGAUUGGGGGAACCAUCAUCUUUUGCAGACAAUAGCUUAGACCCACGACUUUUCAAAAUCAAGCUUUGUAUGAAUUUGAUUAAAAUCUUAAUUCAAUCCCAUAUUUUGAGGUACUAGGUUCUGUGAAGGGCUUGCCACAUAUGUUAAGAGAAUCACACUUUCUUCAUGUGCCCCCCCCAAAGGAAAACCAGUUGGCACAUUGUAAAAUCUAUGAAAAAACAAAAAAAAAAAAAAAAACACCCAUGCGAUGUGUCUCAAGUCUACCCUGCUUUUACAAACAUGAUCUGCCCCUUUGCUGGUAAUUUAUGGUAACGGGUUCAAACUAUGUCUCAUUUUAUGACAUAUUUCCUUACAGAAAUUCCUUGACUGGGGGUGUGGGUGGGGGGAUGUGAAAAUUAUAUUUACUAAGAUGACAGAUUCAAGAGUUCUGUUCUUCAGCUGGGAGAGGCCUGUGGGCACUGGUUCAAAAUUUCAAAGUUCUUUGGUGGUCUCAGGAGAUGAUGUGAUAAGGAAAGCCUGACCCUGGAAGGCAAAGGGUAUGCAGGGCUGAAUCAUAGACACACACACACACACACACACACACACUGCAUUGCUUCUUCUUCUUCAAAGCCGCUGUCUGGACACAGUACAGCGACUUCCCUCUUUCAACACAGGCAGUGAACCACAGAGAAACCCUGAGGUCUGCAGUUCUGCAGAGGGGGCCUCUUUUUAAAACACUGACUUGCUGCCACAGAAGGUGCUCAGAUCACUGAGCAAAGAGAAAACUGCGAGUCAUACAACACUGUGGGCAGUGUAAAGCCAUUUGCCAGGGGAAAAUAGAUCAGACAGAUACAUGUUUUAUGACUCAAUAUGAGGUAACACUAUAUCACAAAGGCGGGUGACCUUGAAGAUAUCCAAGAGAAGCACUCAACAGUUGUUCCUUAGUAAAUAAUAGAUUGGGAGGAUUUUUUUUUCACAUUAUGGAUGUAUUAAAAUUAUAUCUUUAUAUUAUAUAUUAAAGUUGUUAGGGGAUAUUAAACAAAUGGAGUUAAGUGGCAGCAUGGUUUCUCUAGGGGGAAGGGGCUGACCCAGCCACGCUCACAGUAAGUUGACCCUUCUGUAUCCCAGCAUCCUCGGGGGCCAGCUGAUCCCUGGUUCUGGUUGUGAGAACUUGACAAGGAGGCCGAGUCUUCUAGUGUUUCCCACACUAUUCCCCUCACUGCACUGAUGUACUAAGCACUAUAGGGUGUGGUUUGAAUGCAGACCAGGGUGUGUCAGUAAAUAUUUAGGUUCAUGCAAACUGGGGAAAUCAUCAGAUAAGAAGGACUUAUUUGAAAGAAAGCAUAGUUCAGUGUUUGGUUUGAGACAAUGUUUCAAAGCAAAAUUAGGGCAAGUUAAGUAUUGACUUGACCCUCCUGAUCUGAAAAAAAACGAGAUUAACUUUUGCUUUACAAUUGGGCACAUAAUUCUUUCACUUAAAAAACAAACCCUACCUAUUCCUGUGGGAAAAAUAAUCUGUUUUCUGGAGAAGCUGAAGGAACCUCCUCUCAGGUGUGACUUCAUUCUUCAUGUUCUACCUUCCCCCACUCAGCUGUUCCUUGCUGAUAAAGAAAGGCUUACUUGUCUUUCAGAAUUGAUGUCUAUGGAUUCCAACAUUCAACCAAAAGGCAGGUAUUUCCAACAGAAUGUUCAAAGUCAUUGAAACUUAGGCCCAAUAUGUGUCUUUUUGUUUUUACAGAGUACAUGCUUUCAAAAACUUUUGCGAAGUGUCAGGAAUGGGUCAUAAAUAGUUCUUUUGACAAGCAGGAAUGGGAGCCAUGUUAUGUAACUUAGGAUGUUUUGUCUUUGACAUAUGAUAGACCCACAAGGAAAACCUCCUUUCCAAACUCUAGAAAACUAGAUUCCAGAGAUGUGGACUUGUUUGCAUAUCUCUGUCCCAUCAAAGGGCUAUGUUCACUUCUACCUAACGGUCUUCAUCCUUGUUCUUCGUGCUGCAUGGCUGACAACAUGCCAUCAUGCGGAAUUUUGAGAAGCAGAAUCCAUGGCCCCCAAAGACGUCCAUGUUAGGAUCCUUAGAACCUCUAAAUAAAUUACACUAUCUCACAAGGAACAUCAGGUAUGCUUAGAUCGAGGAUCCAGAGCUGUGAAGAUGAGCCUGGGUUACCCAGCUCUUACUUCAGCCCCCGGGGCUGCGGAUGAGUCACACCAAGCAAGCCAUUCCAGAAAACCAUCAACUCGUUCAAGCAGAGAAGAGGCCAAAAUCCUGAGAUCUCAAUCUGUGCAGCAAAACAACCAUGUACAAAAGAUGUCCCACAUCUGUCAGCUGCUUUGCAUGUUUCUGGAAUUACCGAAGAACUGCACCAGGCCCUGAGAAUCCUUUUAGAGGACAAUAUGGGAAUAAGGAACAAGGAAGACUUCAGCGGAAAGGAAAGAAGAUGCUUUCCGUCUGAAAGGAGGAAAAAGGAAAAUCAGAAGGAGGACUGAAAAGUAUGUUCUAGAAGCUGGCUGAGUAGGGCAAGCCUGGAAUCUCAACUUCUUUGGAGGCUGAGACAGGAGGAUCAUAACUUCCAGGAUUACCUGUUAGCAGAGUGAGUCUGAGGCCAGCCUGGGCACCUAAGUGAGAACCUAUCACGACAUGGAAAAUGAAAAGGAGGACCAGGAGUAUGGCUCAGUAGUGAGCACACACCUCACGGUGCAAAGCUCUGAAGUCAAUCUCCAGUACUGAAAAAUGAAUUACAGUAGAAGAUCCACUGAGAUUAGGUAUGCCCGGAAGGUGUGCCCGGACAGGGCGAUGCCAUUGGUCGAAGAAGCAGAUGUCUGGAGUGACAAUGGAAGCAAGCAGAGAAAGUGCGUUCGUAGGCCUUCCUUUAGGACUCCAUUUGGUUGACAUUGGAGUCAUAGCUGGAGGGCUGGAGGGUUUUCUGGUGUCCUUCACCCAGCUUGGCUUUAGGAACACAAAGCAGGGGACUGGAGUAGCCCACCCUGUGGCAUUGAACUGCAGCACCAGGAUCCUGGAUUCUGAGAUCCUGGAUCCUGUGCUUUAAGGAGCUGCAGUUGAUGGAAACAUGGCUGGUACAUGGAGAUACUGAAAGCAGCAGGCCUGUUAGGGAGGUAAAAACUGGGACAGAGCAGCCCCGGGUAAGACCAGAGCUGAGUCGUGGAAUCAGUGGAGGUUGGAUAUGAGAGGUGACUGGGACUGUGGAUCACAGUUCUGAGAGGCAAGUGGCAAGUCCAUUCUGGGACACAUGAGGGUAAGCUGCCUUAGGACACCUGUAUGGAGAUGUUCCGAGUCAGCCCAGCCUGUCGUCUGGUUCUGCUCCUUUUGUGAAAGCUCAGAAGUGCGUGGUUAGUUACACCUGGCUCAGCACAGAAGCUGAGAUACCUUAUAUCUUACCAAGAAAGAAAGAAAGAAAGAAAGAAAGAGAGAGAGAGAGAGAGAGAGAGAGAGAGAAAGGAAAAGAGAAACUCAGAGGAGUAAAAUCUUAUUCAUAUUUAUUUAUAUAAUAAAAUGCUUAUUCAUUUUUAUUUUAAACAGUGCUCUGUUGAUUUUCAGCACUGGAUGUUAGAUGGACAGAAAGCAGUAUUUCCUACAUGAAAUGCAAGUUGAAUUUUAAUGUACAUUUUGGGAUGUCUUUGAGAACAGUGGGCCUGAAUAUAUUUGGGAACACCGUGAUGUGUGUUUUAGGAUACAAAUAAUCUCUAUAAACUUUACACAACACUCGACAAAGCACACUAAGGUCAGACACUUGCUUCCCUAAUGUUUACCCCAAAUAAAGGUUACUUUGAUGGAGCAAA